UAUUGGCCAAUGGGCGAAAGCCUGAUCCAGCAAUGCCGCGUGAGUGAUGAAGGCCUUAGGGUUGUAAAGCUCUUUUACCCGGGAUGAUAAUGACAGUACCGGGAGAAUAAGCUCCGGCUAACUCCGUGCCAGCAGCCGCGGUAAUACGGAGGGAGCUAGCGUUGUUCGGAAUUACUGGGCGUAAAGCGCACGUAGGCGGCUUUGUAAGUUAGAGGUGAAAGCCUGGAGCUCAACUCCAGAAUUGCCUUUGAUACUGCAUCGCUUGAAUCCAGGAGAGGUGAGUGGAAUUCCGAGUGUAGAGGUGAAAUUCGUAGAUAUUCGGAAGAACACCAGUGGCGAAGGCGGCUCACUGGACUGGUAUUGACGCUGAGGGCGAAA
rnacentral:rRNA from 1 species